UGAACUGCUGUGAAGAUACUUUACUUCCAGUCAAGAAACUAUAAAUUACUUCUAUAAAAACACAUUGAAUUCAACACAGAACAGAUGAUUGUGAAGUCAUGAAUUCCAAGAGGAACAAACUAUAAAUUCAGAGCUUCUGCAGACUUGAGCUGCCAACAUGCAACGAGUCACCUACAAGUUGGUAAUUCCAGGGAAGAAGAAGAGGAGGUUCAUGGAAAACCUUUUGUGGGGGAUGGGACAAGGAAGCCCCUAGGAUGCUGACAACAUCUGCAGGAACUAAUUUAACAGGAAAUUUACCUAGAUGCUUCUUGGCCAUGUACAAAGAGCUGCUUAUGACAAAAUUGUUUGCAGACAGUGCUCACUCAAGCUUGCUGGUAAUUAGUGCCAUAUUAGCAUGAAGCCUCAUUACAGCAAGAAAAGGGGGUAUGUUAAUUAAUUCAAUCAUUUGGUUCGCUUGAUAUCUUUUCACUUAAGAUUAUUUUAACUCCAUGGUCAGAUGCCCAGCUAUGACAGCAAAUGGCAUCUUGUAUGCAUGGUAUGGCACAAGAAUAAACAUGUGGCAAGUGACAAAUCUGAAUUUUUUAAAUAAAUAGCCUUGAAAAAUUUAUAUUACAACUGGAAUGUUAAAUCAGUUGGAAAUAUAUCAGUAAAAACAGGUGAUUGUA